GUAUUAUGAACCGUUAUAACCGGCGAUACCCGAAUGGGGAAACCCAGUGUGAUUCGUCACACUAUCAUUAACUGAAUCCAUAGGUUAAUGAGGCGAACCGGGGGAACUGAAACAUCUAAGUACCCCGAGGAAAAGAAAUCAACCGAGAUUCCCCCAGUAGCGGCGAGCGAACGGGGAGGAGCCCAGAGCCUGAAUCAGCAUGUGUGUUAGUGGAAGCGUCUGGAAAGGCGCGCGAUACAGGGUGACAGCCCCGUACACAAAAGCGCAUGUGCUGUGAGCUCGAUGAGUAGGGCGGGACACGUGGUAUCCUGUCUGAAUAUGGGGGGACCAUCCUCCAAGGCUAAAUACUCCUGACUGACCGAUAGUGAACCAGUACCGUGAGGGAAAGGCGAAAAGAACCCCGGCGAGGGGAGUGAAAAAGAACCUGAAACCGUGUACGUACAAGCAGUGGGAGCACAGGUUUACCUGUGUGACUGCGUACCUUUUGUAUAAUGGGUCAGCGACUUAUAUUCUGUAGCAAGGUUAACCGUAUAGGGGAGCCGGAGGGAAACCGAGUCUUAAUUGGGCGUUAAGUUGCAGGGUAUAGACCCGAAACCCGGUGAUCUAGCCAUGGGCAGGUUGAAGGUUGGGUAACACUAACUGGAGGACCGAACCGACUAAUGUUGAAAAAUUAGCGGAUGACCUGUGGCUGGGGGUGAAAGGCCAAUCAAACCGGGAGAUAGCUGGUUCUCCCCGAAAGCUAUUUAGGUAGCGCCUCGUGAAUUCAUCUCCGGGGGUAGAGCACUGUUUCGGCUAGGGGGCCAUCCCGGCUUACCAACCCGAUGCAAACUGCGAAUACCGGAGAAUGUUAUCACGGGAGACACACGGCGGGUGCUAACGUCCGUCGUGAAGAGGGAAACAACCCAGACCGCCAGCUAAGGUCCCAAAGUCAUGGUUAAGUGGGAAACGAUGUGGGAAGGCCCAGACAGCCAGGAUGUUGGCUUAGAAGCAGCCAUCAUUUAAAGAAAGCGUAAUAGCUCACUGGUCGAGUCGGCCUGCGCGGAAGAUGUAACGGGGCUAAACCAUGCACCGAAGCUGCGGCAGCGANNUGCUGGAGGUAUCAGAAGUGCGAAUGCUGACAUAAGUAACGAUAAAGCGGGUGAAAAGCCCGCUCGCCGGAAGACCAAGGGUUCCUGUCCAACGUUAAUCGGGGCAGGGUGAGUCGACCCCUAAGGCGAGGCCGAAAGGCGUAGUCGAUGGGAAACGGGUUAAUAUUCCCGUACUUGGUGUUACUGCGAAGGGGGGACGGAGAAGGCUAUGUUGGCCGGGCGACGGUUGUCCCGGUUUAAGCGUGUAGGUGUGUGUUCCAGGUAAAUCCGGUUCACUUUAACACUGAGGCGUGACGACGAGGCACUACGGUGCUGAAGCAACAAAUGCCCUGCUUCCAGGAAAAGCCUCUAAGCAUCAGGUAACAUCAAAUCGUACCCCAAACCGACACAGGUGGUCAGGUAGAGAAUACCAAGGCGCUUGAGAGAACUCGGGUGAAGGAACUAGGCAAAAUGGUGCCGUAACUUCGGGAGAAGGCACGCUGACACGUAGGUGAAGUGAUUUACUCAUGGAGCUGAAGUCAGUCGAAGAUACCAGCUGGCUGCAACUGUUUAUUAAAAACACAGCACUGUGCAAACACGAAAGUGGACGUAUACGGUGUGACGCCUGCCCGGUGCCGGAAGGUUAAUUGAUGGGGUCAGCGCAAGCGAAGCUCCUGAUCGAAGCCCCGGUAAACGGCGGCCGUAACUAUAACGGUCCUAAGGUAGCGAAAUUCCUUGUCGGGUAAGUUCCGACCUGCACGAAUGGCGUAAUGAUGGCCAGGCUGUCUCCACCCGAGACUCAGUGAAAUUGAACUCGCUGUGAAGAUGCAGUGUACCCGCGGCAAGACGGAAAGACCCCGUGAACCUUUACUAUAGCUUGACACUGAACAUUGAGCCUUGAUGUGUAGGAUAGGUGGGAGGCUUUGAAGUGUGGACGCCAGUCUGCAUGGAGCCGACCUUGAAAUACCACCCUUUAAUGUUUGAUGUUCUAACGUGGACCCGUAAUCCGGGUUGCGGACAGUGUCUGGUGGGUAGUUUGACUGGGGCGGUCUCCUCCUAAAGAGUAACGGAGGAGCACGAAGGUUGGCUAAUCCUGGUCGGACAUCAGGAGGUUAGUGCAAUGGCAUAAGCCAGCUUGACUGCGAGCGUGACGGCGCGAGCAGGUGCGAAAGCAGGUCAUAGUGAUCCGGUGGUUCUGAAUGGAAGGGCCAUCGCUCAACGGAUAAAAGGUACUCCGGGGAUAACAGGCUGAUACCGCCCAAGAGUUCAUAUCGACGGCGGUGUUUGGCACCUCGAUGUCGGCUCAUCACAUCCUGGGGCUGAAGUAGGUCCCAAGGGUAUGGCUGUUCGCCAUUUAAAGUGGUACGCGAGCUGGGUUUAGAACGUCGUGAGACAGUUCGGUCCCUAUCUGCCGUGGGCGCUGGAGAACUGAGGGGGGCUGCUCCUAGUACGAGAGGACCGGAGUGGACGCAUCACUGGUGUUCGGGUUGUCAUGCCAAUGGCACUGCCCGGUAGCUAAAUGCGGAAGAGAUAAGUGCUGAAAGCAUCUAAGCACGAAACUUGCCCCGAGAUGAGUUCUCCCUGAGACUU
rnacentral:rRNA from 1 species